rnacentral:rRNA from 1 species
GAGUUUGAUCCUGGCUCAGAACGAACGCUGGCGGCGUGUCUUAAGCAUGCAAGUCGUGCGGCAAGGCGGGGCAACCCGCCCUAGAGCGGCGGACUGGUGAGUAACGCGUGGGUGAUCUGCCUUUGGGAUGGGGAUAGCCAUUAGAAAUAGUGGGUAAUACCGAAUACGUUCGUCAUGCUGCGGCAUGGCGAGGAAAAGCGCUUCGGCGCUGCCCGAAGAUGAGCCCGCGUCCCAUUAGCUAGUUGGUGAGGUAAAGGCCCACCAAGGCGAUGAUGGGUAGCCGGCCUGAGAGGGUGUACGGCCACACUGGGACUGAGAUACGGCCCAGACUCCUACGGGAGGCAGCAGCUAAGAAUAUUCCGCAAUGGACGAAAGUCUGACGGAGCGACGCCGCGUGGAUGACGAAGGCCGAAAGGUUGUAAAGUCCUUUUGUUGGGGAAGAAUAACCAUGGGAGGGAAUGCCCGUGGGAUGACAUGAACCGACGAAUAAGCCCCGGCUAACUACGUGCCAGCAGCCGCGGUAACACGUAGGGGGCAAGCGUUGUUCGGAAUUACUGGGCGUAAAGGGCAUGUAGGCGGCUUUGUAAGCCCGGCGUGGAAGCCCACGGCUCAACCGUGGGAUUGCGUUGGGAACUGCGAGGCUUGAAUCAUGGAGAGGGAGCUAGAAUUCCUGGUGUAGGGGUGAAAUCUGUAGAGAUCAGGAAGAAUACCAGUGGCGAAGGCGAGCUCCUGGCCAAUGAUUGACGCUGAGGUGCGAAAGUGUGGGGA